rnacentral:lncRNA from 1 species
CUUUGCGAGAUGAAUCUUUUGAGUCUAAUUAGUCAAUAUUUGGACAAUAAUUCACAAAUACAAACGAAACGCUACAGUAUGCUAUAGUGCUACAACAGUGAUUUUGCAUCUCCAAAGUUGGGCAACUAAACAAGGCCAUAUGCUACUACAAAUAGCAUCCUGCAUCCGACGACUUGUUGUACUUGCAUGGGCACAAGCAAGAACCACCCCCAGGUGGCGGCUGCAGGUGGCAUCAGCUCCACCGAUAACCAUGCUAGACCGCAAUGGAUCGCGUAUGCUAUCCAUGCUCGUAGCAGUGUUAGGUUAGACACUACUGCAGUAGAUUGUGU